AAAUUUUAAAUGAAAAAACCUUAAUUUGUGUAUUUUAUUUGUACUACAUUUCUGUAAAUUAUAUACAUACAUACAUAUGUAUGAACAUCUCCAGUAUAUUGUAUUACGUUUUAAAUUGAAUUUACUUUUUAUUAUUACACUUAUGGGUUUUUCAUCAUUGUUUUUGCAAAUAUUUAACUUUAUUUUUGUUUAAAAUAUGUGUAAAUAAUUGCUUAAUUUUUUACUCGGUUUUAUUAAUAAAUUACAAAAAAUAUAUUAACUACAAGGGUAUUAGGGCGAGUCAUAGAAAUUGUUUUCUCGAAUCGUUUCUUGGGUAAUAUUUAUAAGCUCUAGAAUGAAUGCAUUUGAACUACAUUCCUGAUCAUAUCGGGAUCAAAUCCCGGUAACUAUUUUCAUACCUAAAACAUCUCUUAUAACGAAAUCGGUUAUAACGGGUCUUCGAAUAUAACGAACUACAUUCAGUCCAUAAAGUACAAUUUCAUUAAAAUUUCCUUAUAACGAAUCAAUUUGACUGGUUCCCAGCGGUACGUUACAAACGGGUUUGACUGAAUGUCGAAGUGCUUUAUGUGAGUACCUGGCGUGUUGCCCUAUCUCACAGUGGUACUUUUUCAACCACUGGGUGAGUAAAAUGUAAACAACUCUCCACUGCCACUAUGUGUAUCUUACAUGCAGGUUACAAUUUUUGUACAUGGAUUGAGCCGGUCCAUGUACAAGCACUUUGCUCGAGUACUUGAACCAUCUAAUCUCUGACCAUUGCUGCCCCGUUGCUUAACUUCCGAGAUGUAAAACAUCACUUCCGUUUAGAACUACGCAGAUGGGAUGCAAUAGCACCUAGGGACGUAAGCGGUAGACCGAAGUACGAAUCCAUCAAAUAAGCCGAGAUUUUGUUCUCACUCAAAGGGACACAUUGUGGUAAUUCUGAUAUGAACAGAGUAUACUCUGAACAUAUCUGGACAAGGAAGACAAAUUCAAUGGUAUAAUUUGUAUAUGAUACCUUUCAUCUAUCACCAGACAACUCAGCACACAACUCAUUUAUCCGACACAUUCAUUAGAGAAAAACAUACGACACAUUUAUUAAAGGUAGACGGGUGAGUGAGAACCGCCCUACCCCACAUUCAUCCCGUACCAAUUACAAUUAAUACCAACUCAUUUCUAACGCUUAGUUCCACAGUUAAUCCUCUAUGGAGCAUCUGUUGUUUCGGCAACAUCACCGAACUUUUCCCGCGAAUUUGGGAUUUAACCACAGCUACAAUGUGGAUCGCGAAGAACCUCAACCAACUGACCAGCCAGGUCAUAGUCCUGUGGCCAGUACCAGAUUAUGUGGUGCUCUGGUUCGACCUCUAUGUAAGGACUGUAAUACCAAUUUAUAGUCCCGGCCGACUAGAGGUGUUGGUAACACCUCUGUUCCUCGGGAUUGCAAUAACACCAAGGUGGAGGUUUCACCAAGGUAACAUGCCCCCGGGGGGAAAACGGGUUAGACUGUAUGCCUUAUAGGCAGGUGAAAGAUGUUUAAAAUUCAGCCUAGCCGAACUUGUUAUCAAUCCGAAAGUUUUAUGGUUCAGCAUAGCCAAAUAUACAUAUAUCAUUCUAACUAGUUAUCUAUCCGAUUACUAGUAAAAUUAAAAAAUUUUAUUUUGAAUUAUAUACAAAAAAUUUUUUUUAAGAAAAUACAAAUUUCGUUAUUAUAUUUUAAUUAAACACACAUAUUACAUAGUUAACUAAGAUCUAUAUUUUUUCGUUCAUUUCAGAUUUACAUUAAUUCCUAAACUUAAUCUUAAUACUCAAAAUGAAACAAACUGUCGAU